rnacentral:sRNA from 1 species
GAGGACGAGGAGGGAAAAGAGGAUGGGAGAGAAGAAGGCAAAGAGGAUCCAGAGAAGGGGGCCCUAACCACCCAGGAUGAAAAUGGCCAGACCAAGCGCAAGUUGCAGGCAGGCAAGAAGAGUCAGGACAAGCAGAAAAAGCGGCAGCGAGACCGCAUGGUGGAAAGGUAACCAGCUUCCCUCCACCCCUCUGCCUCUGCCUCGCUGUGGGGCUGCCGCCAGGAGAGCAGGGCCAUAGCUCUGCCAGCUCGCCGCCCUCUGGCCUCCCUUGGGAGCCGCCACCUGCUCGGCCGUGCAUGGACCCUGCUUCCCGCCAGGCCCAGCUCCCAAGGCCUGACUCAUCCCCUGCCCCUCUGCGGCCGCCUGGCGACCGCUGGCGUCUGUGGGCCGAGACCUGACACCGCUCGGCACCGUUGCUCAGAAGCUCUGGCGCUAGGUCACUCGGCGCACGAACCCCAAGGUGCACUGGGGGCCUGAUGCCCCUGAGGGAGGGGGCCAGCUCAUCAGAGACUCAAGGUCCAAGGCGCCUGUGCCGCCCCAGCUAGCUGCCAAGAGGCCACCGCCGUGCCCAGGAGAGAUGGCAGCACCUGUGGGCUGUGGCAGCCUCGGGCCUGCCUUCUGCCCUGCCCGCCCGCCCUGUCAGGCCGGGCCUGUCUGCGGCUGAGCCCUUCACGCCCCUUGGUCGGGUCUGUCUGCCCUCAGGGCUCCCGCACUGGCGCUUGCCUCCUCCGCCUCAGACUCUUGCUCUUGCUGGACCUUCCUCAGCCUCGCCGGCGCCCGGCCCCUGGGCUCUCCAGACAAAGCUGACCCCGUGGCCCAGAUAAGGACGUCCGGCAGAGGUAGGGACCCGCCCCGAGGUCUCGGUGGCGGCUGGCCUCCUCCGCCCCUUGCCACGGCGGCCUGCUC